GAGCUGUGCUGUGACCUUCCAGGCAGAGCCCUAGCAGGACCUCACAAGUCCAGCAUCAGUGGGUUUAUCCUCGUUGAGGAGUUGUUCUGUGUACAAGCUAUUGCAGUAUUGGAGUAACUCCUCAGGACUGAGCUGCUUGCUCUUCCAGCUCAUCAGUGCAUCAACAGAGGUGUGGAGAAAAGAUACAGAAUUCUUUCAACUGGACCUGACCAUCCUCCUGUCGUGUGUCAGCUGGUGUAAAAUCAGGAACGUCUCUAAUGAAAGCAAGUCAGUUAUGCUGUGGAGAAGAGGUGAAGUUUGGACAGUGGAUCUAUGCGCAAUUCCCCCAGUCCCGUGGAUCUGAGGCUAAUAGAAAUGUGAAUCCUGUUUCCAGAUCAACCACUCCAGUUUUGGCAAGCUGAAUUCUCUGGGAGGCCUGCAGUAAUAGACCGUACAAGUACAAUCCUUCUAGAUGUAUAAGAGCAGAACUGGUUGGAUUUUGGACUCUGAGGAUAAGAAACAGGUGAUGCUCAAUUCUGCUUUUUAAACAGUGCCCUAACUGGAAAUUCAAACAUCUGAUAUGUAUGGUAGAACAACUUUGCUUGGGAAUGAAAGCUCACGCAGGAGAUUCCUGCUUCAUCAGGGCUUGCAAAGAGCUGAAUGUCCAGCUAGAAGAUGUUUUGAGUUUUAACACCAAGCUUGACAGAUGCGAUGUCAUCUCUCACUGCUCCCAUCCAGCCUUUCGCUGCUGCCCUUCAGUUCAGUCACUGGAAAAAGAGCAGACGGGAGCACCGAAGAGUGCCGUGAUUGAAAAUAGGUGCAUUUUCCAGUUGGACAUCCAUGUGAUUUGGAACUGAAAGCAAGAGUGAAUACAUAGCUUUGCACCUGGGAGGACAAGAAUGGCAAGCAUUUUCUCUUAUAAGUAUGUCUGUUCUAUAUAGUUCAAGUCAGUGACCAUAUUUUAAUAAGCACCAUUUCUACAUUAUUUUCAUUACUUUAAAGUACAAAAAUGUUACUAUGUCACAUUUUUUUCUUGAGUGACUUCUGAACAAAUAAGCCAUUAAAUGCCUAGAAGAGGGAGAGACAACUAUGAAUAGCAAAGGUAAGAAUGAUCAAACUCAGAAAAACAGUGUGCCAGUAACAGACAUCAGAAUAGAAUCUACCCGUGAUAUCAUGGCCCUGUAAAUCCUUAGAGAUUUGCAAGAUUUCAGGUUGAAAGUAUGUUAAGAUAUGAUCGUUCAAACAGUUUUAAUUAUAUUGGAAAAUAGUCAGGGAAUCCCACUCUCUCUUCUGAAAUGCCAGGUCAGGACAUGAAUUAGCAGGUAGGGUACUUUGAUUAGAGACAAUGUUUGUGGAAAUUAUAUAAUUGAAAAACAUAGCCUUGGAGCUUCUGUGCCUGAUGAUAGUGUUGGUUCGUAAUUUGUUGAUAAAUUAAAAUAUAAAAGACAGGUUACAAAGCCUAUUUCUAAGCUCCCAGGAAGUGUUUUCUUAUUAUAUUUUUGUGUGAUUUUUUUGAUUUAUAUAUAACUGAUUUACCUUCAGAGAUACAUGUCUCUCAGAUUUACCUUCAGGGCCAGAUUUGGCUAUAAAAUAUGUUCAACAUGUUGCAUCAUCAUUCUUGAUCAAGUACAUGACAUACCAACAUACAGAUUUCAAAACCAGCUAUAUUACUUAAGAUUCUGCGUAUCAACAUUAAUCUAUGGGUAAAAAUCAUAUGAGAUUUCAAUCUACAUCCUGGAAGACAUGAGGUGGCUACUUUACAGUAAAUCAUUAAAAUUUAGGCACAUAAAUGUCUAUGAAGAUGUGCAGUACUCACUUAAGGUUAUGACUGGGUCUAGUGCAUUGGAAAAUACUAUUGGCAAAAUAUGUAGUGAUAUAAAUCAUACAUCUAGACAAGAAGUAUAUUAUCUAAAUUUUAAACAAAUUUACAAUAAAGUCUUUGAUUCCUUAUUACACCUUAAAUGGAAAAAAAGGAAUUCUGGUAUGGAAAAGAGGUACUUAGAUCUCUUCCACAAAGAUGAAUGUGGCCUGGACUUUGUUAAGACACAGCCGCCCUUAGAAUCUGAUGCUCUGAGUAGAUUAGUAGGAAUGAACUUUAAUUUUAGUUGCCAGACAGGUUAGACAGCUUUUAUAUGGCUAAGGAGCAUUCAGAGGGACACUGUGGCUGGCCCUGAAAUCCUAUAGAGCUCCAAUGGUGGUUUCCAACGGUCAUCACGUUACUUAUUUCAUAAGGUCAAACUUUACAACCCAGUUACUACCACAGAUAAUUCCUGCAGAGAUAUUUUAUCUAUUUCAUCUUUCCCAUCUAUGUGAAUUUGAGAACUGCUUUUGCAGGAUUAUGGUUUGGAAAAAUGGACCAUAUGAAAUUUGAUUUCUUAAAUGCCAUUUAGAAUACAUUGUUACAUGUAGGCAAAAAUCAAUUAUAACUGCAAAUAUUUUAAAAAAAUAGGGAAAAUCAAUGAAAAGCAAGCUAACUGUUGAGAACGGCAAGUAUGACUGAGGAUGUCAAAAGAGAAAAAGAAACAGAACCCCCUGGACUAUUAACUGCUAAAGGAGAGCUGGUCUCUUAGCAUUCUGAACAUUAAAUUUUUUCCUUGUCAUUCCAUGUACUCAAAAUGCAAAAUAACAAGUACCUAUUGCACUAUAUUGCAAUAAGAACAGAGGGAUGAACUUAAAUCAGUUACGUGAGACAUAACCUUUUGAGUCCAAAUUCACCUACUAUAAUGGAUACGUUCUUUUGUAUAUGGAAAAAAAAUAUAUUUUUGGCCUUUUUUCCUCGCAAUUAACACUAAGGAAUUCAGAGGAGAUGCCUGCCCACACACAAUGAAAGGCUUCAGGCUCUGUGACUCAGCACGGUAAAAAUGUAUGAGAAAGUCAAAAGAAAAGCAUCAAGUAGGUUGAGUUGAGUCACGGUGGUCUGGGAUGUUCCCUCAUGUAAAGCUCAGUGAAAACGUGUAAGAGAAAUCAGAGUGAGGGUAGGAAACCUGGUGGGGUUAGAAUGGGUGGAUCUGAAAGUAAAUCUUGACAUUUUCACAGUAAUUUCUCAUCUGAAUUAUUCUAUCAGAAUUGUCAGAUCUGUGUAUCCUUCCACCUUUCCUUGAGCGCCCCAGUGGGAAUCGGGCACUCCUGGCUUUGUACCAAAGCCUCUGCUGCUCCUCCUGGGAUCCGCAUUCCUGCGCAGGACGGGUGCGUGUUCUUGGGUGCGCACACCAGAGGGUGCUGGUUUUAGAAAAGAGAAUAUGAAUUGUGGGGGGGCCUUCUCACACGGGGAAAUGGCAAUGGAAGAAGUGGGGUUUUGUCUGUAGGAGAACAAGCUCUGACAUGUGUCAGUGCUCAGUACCAUCUGAGCUAGACAAAUAUUAUGUAUUUUCUUAUUCAAAAAUGUGGAGUCAUUAUGAUUCCCAUUGUUUAUAUUACAUGUGCUUAACAUACCUACAUGCAAGUCUAUAUCUUAUAUCAUUUUCUUAUUAUUGUUCUUGUUUAUAUGUGUAUUUAUUAGUGUUUUCCUCAGGCUAUUCUGAACGUCAUUGGGGACUUAAGCAAGAUGUAUGGCAUGUUCUAAAGAAAUACAGUAAAAGAUAAUAUAGCAUAUUUCUUCCAUGCCAGGGUAUAUUAAUUCUUGCUUACAUAAGAAAAUACACAAAUGGUAAACAAGUAAUCAUUUGGAAGCAGUUUAUGCAUGAAUAAUGAUACACAGUCUCAUCUCAGAUAUAAACAAACAAAAAAAGUAUCUAGCUUAACUGCUAAUGGUUUUAGGAAACAUCUUUAUUUUUCAAAGGAAAUCACUCAACAUAAUAAAAACAUGCUUUUAAAAAUAAAUGGGUUAAUUUACCUUUUGAUUCAAGAAAAAUAAAUUCUCCUAAAUACUGUACUUAGCCCUAAAAGAGGUAAAACUCUUGCCCACGUUUGUCUUGGUGAUGGAGUUUGACGUCGGCUUUAUGACACUCAUGUCUGUUUUCUUUAAAAACUCCUUGUGGCUUUUCUGGUGGCUUCUUGGCCUGUAGUUCUGUAGUUCUGUCGGUCACCCUGCAACCAAUUCAAAGCUUAUCAGUGGGGAAGUUCUCUCUGGCUUCACUGGGCUUUCAUAUCAGGUCCUACAGGUUUGAGCCUUUUGCCGGUGAAGUUUAUUACAGAACUUCAGCAGAUUUCAGUGUCUCUUCUGACCAGGACUCUGUGUAUCACCACAAGCACACAGACGUGCUGCAUUUCUUCCUUGACUUUUCCAAGUCUGUUGUGCCACAAAUUUUUCCCACAUAAUGAUAAUUUUAUAAAAGAUGCAAUUUCAAAAAAAGUUGGGGAGUUGUUUGCUUAUUUUGUACACUACUAACCACAAUUUCUCCUUUGACUAUAUGUUUUUAACUUUAAUACCAGGGGAUUUUUAAAAAAUAGCAUUGUAUUUAGGUUACGGAUUCAGUUUAAGUGUUUCUUUGCUCGCAUGAAUAAAGCUCCUUAAGUGUUUGCAGGAUUGAGGUUUUAAUUUGUAACUCUGAUCUGGCUGCACGUAGAAUUCUAAUAAAGUUUAAUGAACAUUAUUAAAAGUUUAUAUGCAGGCAAAUAGGGUUGCACAUUUGGAGUAGGCAUUACUACCCUCCAAAAGAGAAGUAGCUUGAGGUGGCUCCAACUUUCCAUUCACAGAAACAGGAGCAUCGGGACAGCAAGAAGGAGAAUAGGAUCCCCUCAUUUUCCAGACAAAACCCAAUGGUAUAUUGGGGUUUUUUAAUGGGAACCAGAAGUGCUGCUUUUCCAAAGUAAAAUAAGAAUACUUCCACACAAUAGUACUUCAGGGUUUAUAGCUGAAGUAUAAUACAUGUGCUGUAAUAACAUUUAAAUUUGGUAGUUUUAGAGUCCAGGUAGAGGGAAGGAACAGCUGAUUGACACGUGUAUGGUGAGAAGGAAGGGAAACAUGAUGCAGCUUCCCUGGCUUGUGCUAAACCACCGCAUGCAGCUGUUUCUCAAUCACUGGCAAACUUUGCUGGUCCCAUUGAGAAAAUAUUACAAAUGCUAGUAAAAGACUUUCACUGAAGCCAACUUAGCAGUACUACAGCAGUUUAUCUUCACCCCUUUGUUGCUUUAGCUUAUCUUUAUCAUCCAUAACUUGGAAGGAAAUGCCACUGUGAGAUUUGCUUGAGAUAAGUUCCCCAACCUCAGGUAGUUAUUGCCUUGAGCUGGAUUAUACACCUGAGACUUGGACCGAAUGGCUGAGACCAGAGGGGCUGAUCUGGAAGAGAUCAUCACGUCAGUAAGUUGAUUUUUAUUUUGUAAAUCUUACUGGUUCCAAGGCAGUUUAGUCCUGCGAGUGAGGUUACUCGUGUACUUCACUCUUUGCUGGAUCAGGUAUUGUAAACUCUCUGGGAGAGGACUCAUGUUUGUUUUUAUUUGUCUGUAAAGUGCCAAUGUAUACCUAUGGCACUGUAUAAAUAAAUAAUAAUAAUAGAAACAAUAAAAACCAUCUAGGGAUUAGGCAGGCCUUUUAAAGAGGCCAAAUGUUCUUCACAUAAAUCUUGGAUCUAAUUUGAGCUCUAAUAAGCUCCAUUUCCUGCUUUUCCAAUAUUUUUAAGCCGCAUUGCAAUAGCUAUCUUUUUUUUUUUUUCUUUUAACAGUUAUUUUAAGAGGGCCCUAAGGCAAGUAUCUAAUCAGCCUAAUGGAAUUUUCCAUGCGGUUAAGUGUUUUAUUCAGUUCAAAACGUCUUUGAUUUGACUUCCCACCUUCCCUUUUGCCCUUUGCUGUGAUUUUGGCAGGUUCUGCAGGUGUCAGAGCUCCAUCUCCAUCACAUGUGCAGAAUCCUCACUGCGUUUACCAGCUCCGUCACCUCUGAGCCAGGGGACAAAACUCCCAAGCCAGCUCUACAGAGCCAGUCCCAGCUGUGGAUCUGCCUCUGCUGCCUUCUAGACAUGCGACAGCCCUUUGGACAAGACUGUGAAGAAAGUUCCUGUGUGGGGUUUUCCUUUGACACCACGUACAGCUGAUGAUCGUGUCUCUGAAGGAGACCUCACAGCAACUUUCUACAGUCAAGUUGAUUUGAAAAAAAAAAAAAGGAUUGUGAUGUCUGAUGUCUGUUCCACUGCUGUUGUUUGUUUUAAACAUGUAUCUUGUGUGAAAGGGCAUCCUGCGCCUCUUCGGACAGCUUAAGGAAUGUUUGAAAUCAAACGAUGUUUGCUUUAUAAUAGAAAAACUGUGCGUCCCUGUGCUUUUGCACCACUCGUAAUCUCCACAGUGGUUCUCAGUGGGUAGCUUAUAAAUGUACAAGGACGUCUCGCAACACAUUUUGAAGAAAAAAGAGAGUGAGAGAGAAAGAAAGAAGAAGAGAAAGAGAGACUCAUCUAAAGUUACACCAUCAUCUUUAACAGCUGUGCGCAUAUUAAAGGAAGGAACGGGGGAGUGAAGGUACCGCAUAUUUCAAAGCUGAACUGUUGCAGUAACAAUAAGAACGGGGGAUGUUGUGCAGAGUUAGCCAAGUGUUUGAAGUACCUCACCGUAAGCCAAACCAAUGAAGUGGACAAGAUUUCUCGCAUGCUGCAGUGGUGCCUCUGCGUACUUAAUAACAGAUGUUUGGUCUCUCUAGGCAGAUAAUUGUCCUGCUGUAAGGUUGGCUUGACCUGUGUGAGCAAUACUGUGUACAGCACUGAAGCAGUAACAAAUGAUCAUAGCUUUUCUCUUUUUACUGGUAGAAUGCUUAGCCACGCUUCCUUUUAAGCACAUAAUUACUCCAAAGCAACUGGAGCCCAUACAUCCUCCUUGCCUAAUGGCUCUGAAGCCAUUUUGCUAAAAUUUAUGGGGACAAGGUUCAAAGUUUUAAUAAUAUUUGGAUAAUAUCAUUGCCAAAAUGUCUUUGAGCUGUGAUGAAUAGAAUGAGAGCGGGCACAUUUCGAUUCUGUGCAUGACAGUGCGAGUGUUAACAGCACCAGACUCUGUUCAACCUUUAUGGAAACGUUCACGAACCAGUUUGCUCAUGAAUUAUAGAUAUGAGCAUGAAGAAUUAUAAACAGCAGUGGAAAACAUACAGGGUUGCUUGUUCAUAAGGCACUGUCCUGUUAGUGGCUCUUCUUUAUGCAGAUAAAUGAAUUGCAGGGAAUACAAAAAUGGUUUAAAUAAACCCUUAGCAGAUAAUGUAUUAGCACAUCAACAUAAAAUACGCAGGCACUGUGGCAUGCUUUUGGAUAUUUAUGUUUAUACUCUCUGCUCAAGUGGCUCACUGAUUUUUUGGCUUCCUAUCAUUCACCUAAUAAUUCCAGCAUCCUAACUGCACCUCUGGGUAUGUUUAUCUGACAAUCCAAGCUGUUCUUUGCUUUAUGUUGCUUGCUCAAAUUGGCUUACCAAUUUGCUCUGCACGUCGCAUCAGUGUAUGAUAGGCUAAUGAUGUUAAUCAAAGCUAAAUAAGAGUAGGCAUGAGCCUUCCCAUGAAGACAUGGACCAGCCUGGGCCAGGUGUUAGCACCGAUGGAGCAAACAAGCCUAUUGGAUAGGCGGUGUGGCAUCACAAAAAUAACACCAAAAUAACAUGUUGCUAAAGCUCAUGUACACUUAGAGCUCAUCCAAAGCCUACUGAAGUCUGCAGGAGUCUCUGCUGAUUUCAGGAAGAUUUAGAUCAUGAAAUUCUGCAUCAUCUGAUGAAGAAUAUUUUUUUUCCACUUUCCUUGAUAGGGUAUGAAACUUACUGUGAACAAGCUGCGGCUGGAUUCUGUAGGUAAUUAAUCACUGAGAGGUUAAGCAUUUGUUAAGCAAAGAGCACAAGUAUUUUUCAUUACAUACAGAAAUGCUGAGUCUCCCCAUGCGUGACAGCUGCUCUCACUGAUAAACAAAAAGAAAUACAAAUAUGAACAAGAAUUAUUUCAAAUGUUCCCAACAGCGAUGGUAGCUAGAAACAAUUUAAUAAAUACUCUCUGUUUAAUUCCAUUCAGUGAUAGUCAAGCGAUGCUUCAUUUAAUCAAAGGGGCGUUUGAUUACAGAAAUAAUCAGCUGACAAAGUCCCAAUUCUCUCUGGCCACUAAGUAUGCAUGUAGAUAGCUAGAUGUGACAUAUGUGAGGUUUGGCAAUUCUUUCUGAAAAACUAUUAGGAUGGCCUUAAUUGCAGUGGUCUGGUUUUGUAUUUGACAGUCUUUCUUGAAAAUCUUAAUGUUUAUUAUGAAAUUUUAAUGUUCAUUUCUUGAAGAUUGUUUUAAAUAUAAGCCUUAAUUGGCUUGUUGUGUAAACAGGGAUUUUUCUCAAUGGGUUGAACAGUGUUCACCAACUAAAAUUAUUUCCUCUGAUUAUGCUGAGGCCUAAAGCCACUGUGAACUUCCACGAUUGGUAAAUAAAAACAACCAAAAAAUUAAGUAAUAUACAUAGGAUUUAAUUAAUCUUCCGCUAUUCAAAGAAGAGCAUGUAAUCUUAUAAAAAAUUGAUUGAUAACUCCUGUCCUUACCCUAAAAUAACACGUGGACUAUUUUAAUGGUGUCUUUUUUUCACUAAGUCUUUACAAAUGGGUAUAUUUCUGUAUUGGGUUACCAUUACAGGAUGAAAUAUAUACUUCAUUCUUCCUCCUCCUAAUUCUUUUCCUUCUUCAACUACAAAGAGAGUCUGGAAACCUUCAGCCUCAGAAGUUAAAAAUACAACAUCUCUGUAUUUUUCUUAAUUGAUUUCUGGAAAAACUGUGAUCUCUAAGAAUGAAUUGAGAGACAGGAGCGAUAAAGGCAGAAGUAGUUUUACAUUUUGAACAAUUCCAACAAGGGGCUGAAUAUUCAACAACUGAUAGGCCAAAUAACAAGUUGUUAACUUCACAAUGCACAGUCACAGAGUACGUAUGUGUCACUUUGAGCAAAGAUUGAAAAGACGUUAGAAUUAGAGAUUUAACAGCCAGUUUUGAUUAAAUCAAAACAAUCAGAGCAGUUGCAUUUGCAACAGAAUGAGGUUUAAAAACCUCAGGCUGGGAAUUCUUUGGCAGACCUCACAGUUCAAGCUUAUUCUAGAAUAAUUUUUUCAGGUGAUACCUUUGAAAAAUAUAUAUUGUGAAAUACUUGAGGACUCUUGUGGCAAAUAACAAUGUAUGCUCAAUUCUUUUGUCUCCUGUCCAUGACUUAGAACAGGCAACAGAGCCACAGAAAUGCUGCUCUUUGCUUUGUUGUGGAGAGGUUUCCAUCUUAUUUAAAGUCAGGUCACAGGAAAUCCUGAUUUUUUUAGGCCAUGUUUGAUAGUUACGCCCAAUGAAAUAAAAAAGGAGUAUGGAUAAAGCCACGUUAUCCAUUCCUAUAAACUGAAAACAUUUAAAUAUAAAUCAGUAGAAACCAGCAAUAGAUCAGUCACUUUUUCUCCUUUUUUAUUAAUUCACAUAGGGCUUGUCAGCACUUGCUUUGAUUGAAAGUGUCCCCUCCUCACAUACACCACAAAACGUAGUGAUCCGUCCCAGGACAGUGGAUCACAAACAGAGGACCUAGCGAUGGAGGAGCCUGAAAGCUUCAAAAGUUGCAUUAUGCCUCAGCAAGAGGUUUAUGUCCAAAUAACUAUGUCAUGCUACCUGUAGCUGGAGAGUGACACUUCCAAUUUAUCUGCAGCCCUUUUGUCCCUGGAACAAUUGCGUUAUCGGUCUUUGGAGAACUGCUGAUGGCUGUUUCCAAAUCACAUCUUGUUGAAUGUCCCAGUGAUGUACUUUGAUAUCAUCACAUCAGAGACAUUAAUCAGCCGUAGGUAUGAUACCCGCCCUUUAUUCUUCUGUCUGUUCUAUCAAGGGAGGCUGCACUCCACACACCGUCGAGAGAUUUCUUGGUACCUAUGUCAUUCUUAUAAAAUUUGAGAACCUGCUAGUAUUUUAUUUGAUGGCAAAUGCACCUCAGUACAGCCAAAUUAAUGAUUCUUAGUGAUAUCCUUCAUUGAGAAAGAUCCCAGCAUAUGUGAUAGGCUCAGACUUCUAGAGCCAAACUUCUCUCCAUGCUUAAAAGUGUUGACAAUCUAAUUCUGCAGGAUGUCAUGAACACAUUGCAGGUUGUUCCAAAGCAACAUACAGAAAAGAUUCAAGGUGAUCUUUUUUUUUUUUUUUUCAUUUUGUUCCCAUUUAUCUCUUUCCAUCCACCCAUUGCGCUACACUUCUACCCCUGAAAACUGGUGCUGUAAGUUCAUGGCAAAAGGAGAAUUCCAGAGAUCUCCACUGGCAGGUAUUGAUUAUGAAGUAUUUUUGUUUAGCCUUAGUUAAAAUCAGGCUGUUGCGCCUACUUCUAAACGAUACAGCUCUCCAGGUAUACUUCUAAUUCCUGUUUAUCCCCUCCUUGUGCGGUGGAAUUUGAAGUGACCUGCUUCCUCGAAUUGAAUGGGAGCUCUUACUCGAUCACGCUGUCCUUUAAUUUAGCUCUCCCACCUAGAACAAUGGGUGAUUAACACAAAUCAAAGCAAGGCUGGGUGCAGCUGCUGGGCCCCAGCGCUCGCCUGCUGUGUAGCAGCGUGUCCUGGUCCCUGCCAAGCCCUGGGCUGUGUCACCGCUCCGAGGAGCCGUCCUUUGAGCAGCAAACAUCACGCAACUGCACAUUGUUGGGGGACUUCAGCGGCGCUUCCAAGCAGUCCAGAUUGGGCAACUGGAAGCGAAGGUGAAUUAGGCAGAAAUACAUAAAUGAGGGUUUAAGUAUUGUUUUGGUUUUAUUUUUUAUUCAUGCUGUGGAUUAUAUUACCACCGAUGCUCCUUUUUCCCCCUACAUUAUUGAAAUGCUCGUUGGCCUAUUUGUCAGGCAUUUCAGUUUAAAGGUUCAUUUCUUUUUUUCCAUUUUCAUCUUGAUCCCAAUGCCAGCAUAAUAUCUCAUCCAGCUGUAGCUUCUUUAGAUCAGGAUGUGUUUGAAAUCUCGUUUUAAAAGAAUUGCACUUUGAUUCUGGAAAUUAUCUUAUACUUUUCUACAUAUAACUCCUAGAAAGUUGUUUCAAUGCAGUUUGUUUUGGUGCUGGUCCAAAGGCGUAUAGCAUCAAUGAAAUGAAACUCAAUGUAAAUUGUUUUGAAUCAGGCUCAGGAAAAUGCAUCUGAAGUAUUGGCAUUGAUAGUCACCUUUUUAUAAAACAAAUGGAAAAAAGUAUUUUAUAUAUAUCCUUUCAGAGGGAUGAAGCCGUUAAGCUGUGUAGAAUUUACUUUUAAAAACUUGUAUUAGAGAGCAAGAUCACUUCAGUUGAUGCUGACUACAAAAGGUUGCAAAUAGAUUAGUUAUCCAGGUGUCUACACACUAGGUGAGGUGUAGAGUGUCCCAGAAGCUUUACCAGCCCAACCCUGCGUGGAUUUCACCACAGACUCUUCUGAAUACCAAGGUACUGGAUCUAUCCACAAGCACAGUCUGCUACUUAUAAAUUAUUAUGGCUAAAUACCACAGUUUUCCUUUCCAGUCUCUGAGAGAGCAUAUAAUGCUGCUAACCCAGGCCCAAAGCAAAGAGCACUAAGGGCGGGAGACGUCUUUGCCUUACGUUAGUAAUCUUUGCAUCAAGUCCUUGAUCUUUCCUUCAAAACCUGACGGGCAUGUACUCAAUUUCAUAUGUACAUUAUAUGACUCCUUGGAGAAAAAAGAAAAUAUAAAAGGUUUCUAAAAGGUCAGGGUUACUUGGUAGGCACUAGUUAAAAUGAGACUCUGCAUACCUGCUAUGAUCCAGUGUUUAGAAAACAAACAGGGUUAGAUCCAAACAAAGGAUUCUUUUUAAUAGUAAACAUAUUUAAGAGGGUGCCUGUGUAAAUGUGAAUUGUUUAGGGGAUGGAUUACCAUUUUGCAUACAUUUUAGAGCUCUGAGAGAAGCCAUUAAGGGAUUAACACCUCCGAUUUAUGAAAAUGCAAGGAUGAUAAAGAAACAAUAGGGGUGACAGCAUUGUGUAAACGACAUUGAUUCAUUUCAGAACAGGGCUGUUAACUGCUGGAAAUGAAGAAAUAAAUGGAACAAUGGAUAGAUGCUUUUACCAGCUUGUCAUUAAUUAGCAGUGAGCACAAUUCUUUUAUUGUCCUUUUUGAAAAAUACAAAAUUGGUAGGAAAAUACAAGCACUGAGCAAAUAGAUUACUCUGUGUCACUAGGCUGACAUCUGCAUUUUCUUUCUUCUCUAAUAUAUUUUGUUUUUCAAAUGAUAUCGAACUUUUAGCCUGGCAGCAAGCCCAAAUUUCUCUUCCUUUGAAAUUCCUAAAAGGACGUGUUUUCACCCUUCAAAACCUCAGUACUCUGCAAAAGCAGAACAAAAGGCAUGGUUUGAGAAAGGGUUAAUAAAUAUGAGUGAACCCCCUGUACCGCAGCUUGGGAGCACGAACACCAGCUCCAUGCUCUGUUCCGCUGGCCUAUUGCAUCCCAUCCACUGGGGUUUUAUUUCCAGCGAUGCCAGCAGGUGGGACCUGACAGUGGGUUUCUUCGGGAUAGGAAAGAAAGAUCAUCUCUGAUGGAGAAUGAGCUGGGAGUGAGCGAGGUUGUUUGGCACAGAUGUAACAGGGACAAUGCUUGAUUAUGGCUAUCACUCUCCAGCUGCUGUCAGAAUGUGAAGUUUGCUUUCUUGAGGCCUGACAUUGAACACAUUUCUUUUUCUAAUUGGUAUCUGGUACUGUACGAUGCUGAUAUUUUACUGCGUGUCAGAUGCACAGGGCUGAAAUACAUCACUGAACUCAGAGGUAGGUAUGCUAGGAAUUAGGGUUUUUAUCUCGUAGCAAAUUCGAAGCUGCCUCUGUUUUAAAACAAGCUGCGUGGAUGGAGAAGUCAGCGCACAUAAACCUCCAGUGCUGUUGCCCAAGAAAAGAUGCAGAGUGAAGCUGACAAAUCAAACAUCAGCCAGGCAAAAUACCCCGAAAAGCAGUUUUAUUUUCAUCAGCGUCUUCGGGCAAUAUUCUGUUCGCAGAUAUUUCCUCCUGCUGGCAGCAGAGCAGCGUGUUUCCCAGCUGCAGAUGCCAGGGUACAGGGGGUUUCUGCCACGCUCAAGAAGCAGCAGCCCUGCCCACCAGAGUCAGGUUAAGGGCACAAACAUUUUUUCAUAAACCAUGUUAGCGUCCUGAGGCAAAGGUUGCCUGUUCAGUGGAAUUUACCCUUCAAAGAACAGUUGUGCUCCAAGCACAUGGAGCUGUACUGUCAGAUACAGGAUGGACAUUUUAAAGAUGUUAUGAUCUACUUUGAAUUCUGAGCAGGGGCAAACUGCUCCAUGCCAGUGGAAUAAUAUGUCCUGCAUUUAAUGUGUGGAACACUGAAGAUUUCUACAGAAUAAAAAGUCUGGGUCUAGGCAACCAGCAGACCACCUCGGAACGGCUUCGGAUUCCGGGGCAGGAGGAAACAGUCAACAAACGGGCCUUUCAGCUGCACCACCCCGGAUCUGCAACAACAAUCUACAGCCCAGCACUCCUGUUACAAAUGGCUUUUUGAAAUUCCAAGAUUACCCUGAUUUCUGGAUCCCUUUGUCUCAAGAGGACUGGAAAAGAAUCUUUCACAAAGAUUUUCUCUCAGUUGUGGUAUUGCUGAUGUCAAGCAUGCAAAAAUCAUGAGUCAGCACUCCAAACGUCACGAGACUGCAGGAAAAAAAAGCCAUCUUUUAAAAUAUAUAUAUAUAUAUAUAUAUAUAUAUAUAUAUAUAUAUAUGGCACUCUUUUUUUUUUAGCCUUUAUGGUAAAUGUAUGGUGUAUUUUUAUACUUCUUCUGCAAAGGGAAAUCUUGUUUUUCAAUACAAAAGAAGAAAAAAGAAGAAACAGAUGAGCUUGCUCAAAAAUUUGCACGACUCCCAGGAACGCGUUUUUGAAGAAUGUUUGCAGCGUUGCAAACAUGGCAACGUAAUUACGAGUGUUGGCAACAUGGUAAUUAUUUGUGAGAACUUUGAUCUAAAUUGAGGUCAAUAAAAACAAAUAAUAAAAAAAAAAAAGAAAAAAAAAAAAAGAAGCGAUUGAAAGAAAAGCAAAGAAAUCCUUCCUUCGUUUUUCAGAAGGCCAGGCUGCCGAAAUGCCAUUUGUUCUGCAGUCCUCCCCAGAAAUCCUCAAGCACAAAUUCAGAAUAGGCCUCAUGUCUUUAAGGUUAAAUAAAAAGACAUAUACACAUCUGAUUACCAGAUAUGGUCAGAUAAUGACAAAUAACACACUGAUUUGGCGAAAAGAAAGGAAUAGGCAAGCUAGCGCAGAUGCUGCUGUUACAAAGAUAUAAGACCUUUACCACAGUUGAAAAGACAAAGACUAUUUGAAUCUAACAACAUGGUUUCUGGCCAGAAAAAAAAGCUACAAUUAUUUUUAAAAAUGUCACCUCAUUCACAUUCAAUGAUCACAGAAAAUGGAAACAUUUUAAGGAGUAAUUGUAAACAUCUGCUGGAGAAAAAGCGAAAACAUGACUAAGGCGGAGAUGAGCUGCCAACAGUAAGUGUUGCGUGAACAGAUCCACCGGGAAUACACCCUUUCUGCGGACGGGCUUGAUCUGGAAUUUGAAGAAACGCAUGAUUAUAAAAAAGAUCAGAAUCCACCUAAGGGCAUUUGACUUUAAGGCGGCCUGGCCGGCUGCUCGUGUCUCCAGGAAUGCGGCUGCACUUGCGUUUCUGCAGCGGCCCGGGCUCCCGCUGCUCCUGCGGCCUCGUGCCAGCAGCCGCGCUCGCGCAGGCACAGGGCCCGGCCUCCGCAUCACAGCACCAGCCUCUCUCUUUUUCAGCCUAGUUAUUUCUCGACUGGAUCAGGCAAGAACAAGUCAAUGUCAGCGCAGAUGGUGAUGACAGCUCAGGCUGGAAUGCCUCUGAUUCUGAACCAUUGCCUGCAAAUACUGAUUUCAAACUGUAAUGACAACAUAAACGAAGGGAAAUCAGAUCCUUCUGUUUCUUAGAAAGUGUUUGCCUAAUCCGAGGGCAAGGAACAAGUGGAAGGCGUCUAUAGAUCUACACAUCAGCACUGCAUUUAGUUGUUGGGCGGCUUUGUAAGAUCUAUUGACUCCAGCACAGAGAAAUGGAAAGACUGAGUGAACACGGGAGGAAAUGAAAGGUGUGGAUCACCCGCUUCUCCAGGGGCAGCUGUGCCGGUUACAGGUGUUUCCAUGAACAACAGAGAUAUAACUCCACGUAUCCUCUGGCACAAGUGAUCACAUUCACAUUUUUCUAAAAUACUGCAGGCAGCCUGGGUAGCCAACCCUUAUAUUUACAAGCAGCUUCUCUCACUGAAAAUGUUUUAUCCCCAUCCAUUGGUAGAAGCUUGCAACUCCCCCACUUCUGCUGCUGACCGGUUCAUUUGAAUUAGUCCUCAUCUCUCCCCUGCUGUAACUGAGGAAAAUCAGGCAGAUUACGUGCAGCUGUGGGCAGAGAAGCUGCUGUGCUGGGUUAAAAGCUUGAAUUACCUCCAUUGCCAUAGGAAUGCCUGCCCUUCUGCAGCACGGGCUGAAACACCGGGGAAACAAAUACCUGCUGGCAAGGUUGAAGAACCUGAAACAAAACCUGUUUCCCAGCUCUGGAUUGAUAGAUGAUGAUUCUGCAUAAAGAGUACAGAUUGGAGCUGAAAGUACAGGUGGAGAGUCAACUGCCUAAUCGUCAUACGGCUAAAUAUUUGUUCGCUUGCUUAAGAUGCAAGAAAUCCUGGAGAACUCUCUGCUUCCACAAGAGGAUCUCAGCAUAGAGGCAUGUUUCAGAAAGGUGGUUGUGUGGAAAAGAGAGAAAUCCUGUGGGUUAAAGUCAUUAAAUGAGAACCAGGUGUAUUUGGUGAACAGUUAUUCUCUGACCUUCACUGACAGAGGAACUCCCUUAUGGAAGACGGAACAAUAGAAGCACAACAUCAUGCCAGCAGCACGGACCAACUCACUGAAGAUGGCAGAUGGACAGAACACCAGUAGUUAUGGUUAAUAUUUAAUGGUUCUCAGGAAUAGCUGUCCUGACGUGGGGAGGAGCCAGAGGAUACCCAUAAGUGCUGUGUGUGCUGCACUCAGCUCAGCAGAGGCCUCUGCUGAACAAAGAGUAACUGGCUGAGAUGAGCUCAAAACCAGGCCCAGCAUCUCACCUUUAAACAUCCUUGUCAGGGCCGUAUAGGAACCCUCUGACAGGCAGUGCUGGGCAGAAAGAAAAUUCCAUAGGAACAAGUAAGUGUGAACAGAUCUAUCAUUUCUAGGGGGAAAAAAAUCAAGAGCUGUGCAUUAUCAAACAAGGAUAUUCACACACGAUUUGCAAUUAGAGAAUGUAUAUAUUUUACCAGAACUUUGUUUAAAAGCCAUUUGAGCAAUUGUACCAGAGGGAGUGUGAUUUGCAAUACGACCUAAAGUAUACCUUUGGAUCAUUUCAAACUGUUUUCCAUCUUUAUUUAACUGAGUUUGCCACGCUGAAACUGAAUCAGAAGUGCUUUAUUCUUCACUCUAGAGCUGUGCAGAUCUAAGCUAUAAACAAGAAAAGCAGUAAAAAGUUGCAUUUGUAAAUAUUUUAGAGAAGAAUGUUGUUUGGUGGAGCUUUAUGCUGUUUUCUCUGGUGCUUUUGAGUGCUUUCUAGAGGCUCAUUAGGGAAAUGUAUUCUUUGAUUUUGGUAAUCAAUUGAUCACCAUUUGAAGCUUUGCUCAGACACACAGUUAUUGUGAAGAGCAGUACUUUGAAAUAUCCGUUUGACUCUGUGAUACUUGCUUUAUUCAACUCCGCUUCAGGCAAAUUAAAAUGUGCUGCUAUGUAAUAAGCAUGGGAAGGUUAGCAUUCACACUUUAGGGAUAAAACAUUUUGACAGUUCUAUUCUACAUUUGCAUUUAAAAAUUGUAACGCUUUUAAUUAGACCCUAUGUUUAUCGUGGGAUCUCUUGUGUGCAUUACUACUGUGAGAUUGUUACCUUUCAGGACUUGUUCUGGACUGCUUGUCUGUGGGGAGGCACAAAAGCUCGCUGGGUUCACAUGCAUUUCGCUUUCUGGUCCAUGAUAUGUCUCAUUUUCUUUAAUUUCUCCGGGGGUUCCACCUGUACCGCUACCGCUGAGUCAUUUGGGUUUGUUUCUGAAAUGUUUAAUGUGCAGUUAGGGAGGUGCAUGUGCAUAGUUCUCUCUUACGUGCUUGGUAUAUUUUCCCAGUGGCGUCCAAAUUCUCAGGUUUUGGUGCUCAGUAAGAUCCCCAAGGGGACAGAGGCAAAUGUUGUCUGGGUGGAGACAAGAGAUGCUGCCACAACAUCCGUUAUCUUUAUAUCUGGUGGACAGGUGAUGCUCAAACACAGCACAUGCACAGACAAUGGUCAACAUUCUGAGCUCGUGAAACCGAUCUGCACAGGCUGAUGUCUGAAGGACCGGUCACUUAAACUGUCCAGAUCAGUUGCUCCCCUUUUAUUUUAUUCUUCAUCUUUCUAUAUUAGAAAUGUUUAGGGGGGGUUCAAGUAAUCUGAUAAAAUAUCUGCAACGUUGCUCUCACCAAGAAAACAUUCAUUGAGAUAAGGCAAAUGUAUGCUGUAUCAAGAGGCUUGUUUGUAAAUUAGACCAAGCAAUUAAAAAAAAAAAAAAAAAGUAAGCUGGCUAUGUGCUUCAGACUUUUCAGGAGAGUAGAGAGAAGUGACAAAAUAUUGCAGGUUUUAGUAGAAAAAUGUAUUUGAGCUGAAAUAAGCUCUUCUCCCUCAUAGUUUAGCCAGUGGCUAGAUACUACAUAUAAUUAUUAUUAGAUUUACAUCGGGAAGGAUGUGGGUUUAGGUGGUACCAGAAAUCCUGUGCAGUGAAUCCUCCAGGAAACUCCAAAACCCUGAGACCACUGUGAGCUGCUGGUUUCCAGACCUUCCGCCACCUUUGGGAGCUGUUUCUUCUGACGCAGCAAUAAACAGCAGAGAAGGGAAAAUACUCUGGAAAUUCAGAUAUAGGAUGUGUACAAAGUCAUGCUUUCUGAUUGUGGCCACAGUAAACCCUCCCAGCGCACCCAGAUUGGAUCUCGCAUUGAAAAACAUCAAAAUCUGAAUUAUACAGAGGCUAUGCAGCACUAUGGGUAUUAGUGACUGCAAAUGAGGGUGUCAUGAGCUCUGGUGACUGCACAGAACUGCCUGGUACAGAGACAUCAGGCUGGAGGAACAACUCUACAACGUGGUGAAAGAACUUUGUGACAGCCAGGCUCCAAAUCUGACCAAGUGUGUGAAUGGUUGAGAAGAGUGUGCUUGGAGAAAAUAAUUUGUGGCUUACAAGAAACAUUAAACGUGCACAGAGAAACAUCUUGGAAGCAAACAAACGCUAUCUCCCAGUUUCACAGGAAAGGAGCAAGAAGUCAGAAAUACCGUAACCACUGAAAGACAGCUUGAAUAUAGAAACACUCUGUUGGACCAAAUAUUCAAGAGUAAGGUAUAGACAGACAUACCCCAGAGUUGUGGCACCCGUUAAUAGCUCAGCAAGCCUGUGCAGCUGUGUUUUGAUCAGCAGAAAGGUUUCCUGGCAUCCGAGAACCAAAAUCACCUCUUGGGUAUGACAAGUGCAUCUAAGUAUCUAGCAAGUGAAAAUCAAGGGUUUCUGUAAGGAAGGAGUAAGAGCACCUACCACAAAAAAUUAAAACAUCUUUCCCACUGUUCAAAAGCACAGACGGCACAAGCCUGACUUUCUUUCUCAUCACUAAGGAUGAUUUACAUCACACCAGCAGUAAAAGAGGACCUGCAGAAAGUGUGGAUAUAAUUAGAAGCACUUUAUUUUAUGCUACUGAAGUAGCAGAGAGUGUCCUUGUCCCUUCUGCUCCUCUGCCAAGAAGCGUUCCAGUGGGGACUGGUGCGAAUGGGAAUGGGGAAUUCCUCCUCUCUGGUCCUGGGCAGCUCCACCAACACGCUCAGCAUGGGCACGCUGCUGCACAUUUGUUUGAGGUCAUCACACCUCACUGGAGGUUUCCCCAGCUUAAUGAGCAACUCGGAAACCAUAGAGAGGACCAGAAGACAGGGGUCAUUGUACAUUCUUACAUUUGAAGGCUGCUCCAGAGCAUCCACAAGAAGAUUCGUGGCAUCUGCCUAGGUAAGCUGAAUGUCCAAUAUUAUCUCUCCAGGCAAGUAAGAUUAUAACAGCCACUGUAGUCCCGUUUCACUUCUCAAUCCUUUUGACAUGAGCACCUUAAUUCUCUCAAGCUCCUUCAGCAGCUGUAAGAAGUUCUCUCUCUUUUUUUUCAAUAUGAUUGAUAAUAUUGAAUAUUUCUUUUAACCUUUUACUGGCAUUCCUGGGCUAAGUGAUAGUUACUCUAUUUGGAUGUUAAUCUCCUGCAUGCAGUAGCACAUCUUUCAAUCACCUACUCAUUAUGGAGCUCAUUUGUAAGAUGCUCCUGUUUCAUUUACUAUGAAAGCCUAUGAAGCUCCACCCAGCAUUAGCCCUACAACAAGUAAUGUCAUUCUCCAACUGUCAAAGCUCACAUAAAGCAAACCAUUGCUUUAUACAGAAACUCCUAGUUUAACACAGAAGGAAUGGCAGCCCUUGGGCAAAAUUUGACUGUAUAGUUUCAUAUGAUGCAGUGGAAAGAAAUACGUUCUGGAAAAGGUGCCAAUAGCGCAGGUUCUCUGGUCCAGUUCAGGAAAUGACCCAGCUGAAACGUACUGGCAAAAAUAUCAUUUUCUUCACUUCCAGUUUCUCAGGAGAGAAAAAAAAAAAAAAGAAAGAAGAAGGAAAUAAA